rnacentral:rRNA from 1 species
UACGGGGGGUGCGAGCGUUGUCCGGAAUUAUUGGGCGUAAAGGGCUCGUAGGCGGUUUUGUCGCGUCGGGAGUGAAAUCCACUGGCUUAACUGGUGGCUUGCUUUCGAUACGGGCAGACUAGAGUGAUGUAGGGGGAGACUGGAAUUCCUGGUGUAGCGGUGAAAUGCGCAGAUAUCAGGAGGAACACCGAUGGCGAAGGCAGGUCUCUGGGCAUUAACUGACGCUGAGGAGCGAAAAGCAUAGGGAGCGAACAGG